rnacentral:rRNA from 1 species
UGACUGGGGUGAAGUCGUAACAAGGUAACCGUAGGGGAACCUGCGGUUGGAUCACCUCCUUACCUUAAAGAACCUGNCACUAUCGUUAACUGAAUACAUAGGUUAACGAGGCGAACCGGGGGAACUGAAACAUCUAAGUACCCCGAGGAAAAGAAAUCAACCGAGAUUCCCCCAGUAGCGGCGAGCGAACGGGGAGCAGCCCAGAGUCUGAAUCAGCUUGUGUGUUAGUGGAACGGUCUGGAAAGUCCGACGGUACAGGGUGAUAGUCCCGUACACCAAAAUGCACAGGUUGUGAACUCGAAGAGUAGGGCGGGACACGUGGUAUCCUGUCUGAAUAUGGGGGGACCAUCCUCCAAGGCUAAAUACUCCUGACUGACCGAUAGUGAACCAGUACCGUGAGGGAAAGGCGAAAAGAACCCCGGCGAGGGGAGUGAAAAAGAACCUGAAACCGUGUACGUACAAGCAGUGGGAGCACCUUCGGGUGUGACUGCGUACCUUUUGUAUAAUGGGUCAGCGACUUAUAUUCUGUAGCAAGGUUAACCGUAUAGGGGAGCCGCAGGGAAACCGAGUCUUAACUGGGCGUUAAGUUGCAGGGUAUAGACCCGAAACCCGGUGAUCUAGCCAUGGGCAGGUUGAAGGUUGGGUAACACUAACUGGAGGACCGAACCGACUAAUGUUGAAAAAUUAGCGGAUGACUUGUGGCUGGGGGUGAAAGGCCAAUCAAACCGGGAGAUAGCUGGUUCUCCCCGAAAGCUAUUUAGGUAGCGCCUCGUGAACUCAUCUUCGGGGGUAGAGCACUGUUUCGGCUAGGGGGUCAUCCCGACUUACCAACCCGAUGCAAACUACGAAUACCGAAGAAUGUUAUCACGGGAGACACACGGCGGGUGCUAACGUCCGUCGUGAAGAGGGAAACAACCCAGACCGCCAGCUAAGGUCCCAAAGUCAUGGUUAAGUGGGAAACGAUGUGGGAAGGCACAGACAGCCAGGAUGUUGGCUUAGAAGCAGCCAUCAUUUAAAGAAAGCGUAAUAGCUCACUGGUCGAGUCGGCCUGCGCGGAAGAUGUAACGGGGCUAAACCAUGCACCGAAGCUGCGGCAGCGACACUAUGUGUUGUUGGGUAGGGGAGCGUUCUGUAAGCCUGCGAAGGUGUGCUGUGAGGCAUGCUGGAGGUAUCAGAAGUGCGAAUGCUGACAUAAGUAACGAUAAAGCGGGUGAAAAGCCCGCUCGCCGGAAGACCAAGGGUUCCUGUCCAACGUUAAUCGGGGCAGGGUGAGUCGACCCCUAAGGCGAGGCCGAAAGGCGUAGUCGAUGGGAAACAGGUUAAUAUUCCUGUACUUGGUGUUACUGCGAAGGGGGGACGGAGAAGGCUAUGUUAGCCGGGCGACGGUUGUCCCGGUUUAAGCAUGUAGGCUGAUUGUCCAGGCAAAUCCGGAUAAUCAAGGCUGAGGUGUGAUGACGAGGCACUACGGUGCUGAAGUAACAAAUGCCCUGCUUCCAGGAAAAGCCUCUAAGCAUCAGGUAACAUUAAAUCGUACCCCAAACCGACACAGGUGGUCAGGUAGAGAAUACCAAGGCGCUUGAGAGAACUCGGGUGAAGGAACUAGGCAAAAUGGUGCCGUAACUUCGGGAGAAGGCACGCUGGUGUGUAGGUGAAGUCCCUGCGGAUGGAGCUGAGACCAGUCGAAGAUACCAGCUGGCUGCAACUGUUUAUUAAAAACACAGCACUGUGCAAACACGAAAGUGGACGUAUACGGUGUGACGCCUGCCCGGUGCCGGAAGGUUAAUUGAUGGGGUUAUCCGUAAGGAGAAGCUCUUGAUCGAAGCCCCGGUAAACGGCGGCCGUAACUAUAACGGUCCUAAGGUAGCGAAAUUCCUUGUCGGGUAAGUUCCGACCUGCACGAAUGGCGUAAUGAUGGCCAGGCUGUCUCCACCCGAGACUCAGUGAAAUUGAACUCGCUGUGAAGAUGCAGUGUACCCGCGGCAAGACGGAAAGACCCCGUGAACCUUUACUAUAGCUUGACACUGAACAUUGAGCCUUGAUGUGUAGGAUAGGUGGGAGGCUUUGAAGCGUGGACGCCAGUCUGCGUGGAGCCAACCUUGAAAUACCACCCUUUAAUGUUUGAUGUUCUAACGUUGGCCCCUUACCGGGGUUGCGGACAGUGUCUGGUGGGUAGUUUGACUGGGGCGGUCUCCUCCCAAAGCGUAACGGAGGAGCACGAAGGUUAGCUAAUCCUGGUCGGACAUCAGGAGGUUAGUGCAAUGGCAUAAGCUAGCUUGACUGCGAGCGUGACGGCGCGAGCAGGUGCGAAAGCAGGUCAUAGUGAUCCGGUGGUUCUGAAUGGAAGGGCCAUCGCUCAACGGAUAAAAGGUACUCCGGGGAUAACAGGCUGAUACCGCCCAAGAGUUCAUAUCGACGGCGGUGUUUGGCACCUCGAUGUCGGCUCAUCACAUCCUGGGGCUGAAGUAGGUCCCAAGGGUAUGGCUGUUCGCCAUUUAAAGUGGUACGCGAGCUGGGUUUAGAACGUCGUGAGACAGUUCGGUCCCUAUCUGCCGUGGGCGCUGGAGAAUUGAGGGGGGCUGCUCCUAGUACGAGAGGACCGGAGUGGACGCAUCACUGGUGUUCGGGUUGUCAUGCCAAUGGCACUGCCCGGUAGCUAAAUGCGGAAGAGAUAAGUGCUGAAAGCAUCUAAGCACGAAACUUGCCCCGAGAUGAGUUCUCCCUGAGACUUUAAGUCUCCUGAAGGAACGUUGAAGACGACGACGUUGAUAGGCCGGGUGUGUAAGCGCAGCGAUGCGUUGAGCUAACCGGUACUAAUGAACCGUGAGGCUUAACCUU